GUUAUAAUCAAGAUGGCUGCUAGAAGCUUCUAGCUCCUUCCCCCUCCCCUCCCUUUCUUCUUCCUAACAUUGACUAACUACCUCGUGCACCAAGAUGGCGCCGGGAAACCGUGGGAGACCCUCAUGGCCCCGGUGACAUCACCUACAGUAGGCAGAGCAUUGAAGCGAACACUUAACACCUAACCAAUUAUUGAUGUAUUAUUCCAUGUUAUCUCUGAC